GCAGAUGUGGUUUGAUCGACAGAGCAUAAAUUUUCUAGGCCCAGCAGAUUUAGUUUUCGAUAAGACUUGUGGCUGCAACUUUUGGUGGUCGGGUUCGGCUCGGAUAUGCUGCUGGAACCAAUUUUUUCUUCUCUCUUGGUUGAUACGGUGUUCUUAUGGCAAUAAGAUAAUCAACCACAUUAUUGUCCACCUGGAAUGCCUUGGUCAAAACAUCAGGGUUGAUGGGAGGUUUGGAUCCGAAGACUGCAUUCGCAACGGUGAUCACUCCCGGGUUCUGGCUGCUGAAAGCGGCGAUGGCCACAGCAUUGGUUUUUCCGACAUUGAGUUGGAAGUGAA